UUUCGCAAUGCCCGAAAGGGUGACGAAGCGACGCCGCGUGGGUGAAGAAGGCCUUCGGGUUGUAAAGCCCUGUCAGGAGUUAUGAAAUGUAGGUACGAUAACAUCGUGCUUAUUUGACAAAGGCUCCAAAGGAAGCCACGGCUAACUCUGUGCCAGCAGCCGCGGUAAUACAGAGGUGGCAAGCGUUGUUCGGAAUUAUUGGGCGUAAAGAGCACGUAGGUGGGUUUGUAAGUCAGAUGUGAAAGCCUUCUGUUCAACGGGAGAAUUGCAUCUGAAACUACAGAUCUUGAGUGUAGGAGGGGAGAAUGGAACUUCUGGUGGAGCGGUGAAAUGCGUAGAUAUCAGAAGGAACGCCGGCGGCGAAAGCGAUUCUCUGGCCUAUUACUGACACUCAGUGUGCGAAAGCUAGGGGAGCAAACGGGAUUAGAUACCCCGGUAGUCCUAGCCGUAAACGAUGGGCACUAAGUAGAGGGGUUUUA
rnacentral:rRNA from 1 species